rnacentral:lncRNA from 1 species
UUUUUUUUUGUUGCAAGUGAAACAAACUUUAAAAGUACCGAAAGCACAACUCAACUCUCUCUCUGAAACCAUUUUCAAUCUAAAACCUAGUUCUCCUCAUAUUCCAAAAAAAACCCUAAAUUUCUUUUCGAACCUCUAACUCUUUAGUCUCUCACGUCAAAAUCUUCGUAAAAAUAUUUGAUUAUUGUUCGAUAAAAUUUCACUUUUGAAGCUUGAUUAUUGUUCGAUAAAAUUUCACUUUUGAAUCUUUCUUGUUCUUGAUCUAUCGAUCAUCAUGAUUCUUCUUCAACACAACGGUGUGAUCACUUUUUUUUGAAAUGCAUUGGUUAGAAACAAACCAUCAGUCUGAUUUCAAGUUGUAUCUGAAGAAAUUGAAUCCAACUCCAAUUGUUGGAGUUGAAUUCAAUCCAACAACUUUAGGCGUGGAUGAAGGAUUUCUUGAUUUUAGAUGGUCAGUCAGUUUUCGACUUCUGUAUUGAUAAUUUUGACUAUAUAUGUUUUUUGCAAGAAAAUCCGGCAAUUUCUUAUGUAAUUUUGCAAAAUUGAUACUUUUCUGGAUAUCUUUUAGGGAAAUUAAGGUUCUGAAAUCUUUAUAAAGUUAUAGAUAUCAGAUUUUUAUCACACGGUUUUCAUAAAGAUUCAUUAAAAAUGGUGCAGGUACCGAAAUGUAUACGAGAAGAUGAUUAAUUGCUAUGUUCAUACUGAUAAAAAAAGCGCAGAUAUAUUGUAUCAUAGUACAAAAUAUCGAUAUCGACUAAUAUAUC